GUUCUGCCCAUGCGGGGAAGGAUGAGAAGCUUCGACUAAGGUUCGGCUCGAGCGUCAGCGAGAGAGCGUUGCCGCAGGCAACGACCCGAAGGGCGAAGCGCGCAGCGCUGAGUAAUCCUUCCCCCACCACCA
rnacentral:sRNA from 1 species